rnacentral:rRNA from 1 species
CAGUCGCCGCGGUAACACCAGCAGCCCAAGUGGUGGUCGCGAUUAUUGGGCCUAAAGCGCUCGUAGCCGGGCCGGUAAGUCCCUUGUGAAAUCGGACGGCCUAACCGUUCGGCGUGCAAGGGAUACUGUCGGUCUUGAGGCCGGGAGACGUCCGAGGUACUCCGGGGGUAGCGGUGAAAUGUUCUGAUCCUCGGGGGACCACCGGUGGCGAAGGCGUUCGACGAGAACGGGCCUGACGGUGAGGGGCGAAGGCUAGGGGAGCAAACGGGAUUAGAGACCCCGGUAGUCCCUGUCUCUUAUU